rnacentral:rRNA from 1 species
GCCGCGGUAACUCCAGCUCCAAUAGCGUAUAUUAAAGUUGUUGCGGUUAAAAAGCUCGUAGUUGGAUUUCAGUUUUCGGCCGGGCUCCUUCCCGUUCAAAUACGGGCGGUGAAGGGGCCUUUGGAUCGUCGGUGUCAAAGCCGCGGUCUUUUAACGGUCGGACUAUACCACCGGAGCGGGAUUGGUGGUGGCUGUGCCUUUCUCUUUUCGGAGGGGGGGGGGCUGUCCACGGUCGCCCGCAUUUUACUGACUGGGGUGCCUUUAACCGGGUGUCCCAGCCAGCCGGUUACGUUUACUUUGAACAAAUUAGAGUGCUCAAAGCAGGUGCAUUUUCGCCUGAAUAUCACAGCAUGGAAUGAUGGAAUAGGACCUCGGUCUUAUUUUGUUGGUUUUUCUAGACCCGAGGUAAUGGUUAAUAGA